rnacentral:lncRNA from 1 species
CAGAGCAUUGUGCACCUCUAUUUUUCUAAAUCAGUGAAACUAGUUCUGCUAGCAAUGACAUCUAUUUUGCCAAUUUCAGGGCUUCUGUGACCUUUUAUAUUCUGUCAGGAUCUUUCAGGUACAGGAGGUGAACCUUUCCUCUGUGGUCCUCUUUGCCUUACAAGACUUCCUAGUAGAGAGCUUGCCACCAGUUCCCCACAGAACAGGGUGCCCUGCAUUCCUGCCUUCCCCUCCAGCCUGGGUGUUGCCCUGAUCUUGCAAGCCUGUUUGACUCAAUGGCAUUUCAGUAAAGUCCCAACUUUGCAAUUUUGUAGUACAAUGUGUGUGUGUGUGUGUGUGUGUGUGUGUGUGUGUGUGUGUGUGUGUGUAAAACACCCAGAGAGCUUUGGUGCCGGCUGCCCCUCCCCAGGAACCUGGCCUUGGGGUUCGUGCUGAUGACCAGGAGAUAGUAGAUAAGAACCUGCACCUUGGACCUGAGGUCUUAAAGGCCUCAACUCUUCACAAUCCCAAUGAUUACAUUCCAGUUUGGAGUCAGCAUGGGCAUGUCCUUAUCUGGGAAGAUUGAGAUAGCUUUUUUGAUUUCCAGUGUUCAUUUUAUUGUUUCCAGGCCAGUUUUACCUCUACCAGUUUCAAAAGAAUGCAACUUGCUCCUGUCCCAACCAGGAAAAUCUAUUUCCCUAAGGACAAGGCCCAGUCAGGAAAGAAUGAGAGCAGCAAAGCAUCUUCUGGGUGUGAUGGUGUAUCCAGGACUGUAGCCUCCCUCAGCCCUGAAGCAGGAUGAUCCAGACUUUGACCUUGCUGCAACUGAGAAGGAGAUUAGCUAGAUUCCAACCUAGAU